GAAAGCUCAUCAAGUUUCUGCUCUGAGCAAGAUAAUUGAAAUAGGAUAUCAGAGUUGAUUAAUUGAGUGGAUCAAGGAUUGAGUGGAUAUCAGUCGUAAAUCUACAUGAUAACACACAUUGGAGUAUGUGGGGUGGCACCAGAAUGCUGCAACAGCGAACAAAUUCUAGAUCAGCAUUUUAGAAGCUUAAGAUCUAACCCCUCCCUUAAUAAAGCCUCUAGUCGUUGAUGAGAUUGGAAUUAGGUUUAGAUAAUAUUCUUUUAAAUAAACCUAUAACCUAACAUUUGCGGGUUGUUGUGAUUCAUUGUGAGAACAUUAUUGUCAUUCUUCCUCAUGUACCUUCAGAUCCAUAUUUGACUAAAGAGCUUACUACAAGUGUUACAAUGAUGGAGAUAUUUUGUUACUUAUGAGAGGAGUACUUUGUUUCUGCGUUUUCUAA
rnacentral:lncRNA from 1 species